rnacentral:rRNA from 1 species
CCUACGGGAGGCAGCAGUGAGGAAUAUUGGUCAAUGGACGAGAGUCUGAACCAGCCAAGUAGCGUGAAGGAUGACUGCCCUAUGGGUUGUAAACUUCUUUUAUAAAGGAAUAAAACGUGGCACGUGUGCCUUUCUGCAUGUACUUUAUGAAUAAGGAUCGGCUAACUCCGUGCCAGCAGCCGCGGUAAUACGGAGGAUCCGAGCGUUAUCCGGAUUUAUUGGGUUUAAAGGGAGCGUAGAUGGGUUGUUAAGUCAGUUGUGAAAGUUUGCGGCUCAACCGUAAAAUUGGAAUUGAUACUGGCAGUCUUGAGUACAGUUGAGGUAGGCGGAAUUCGUGGUGUAGCGGUGAAAUGCUUAGAUAUCACGAAGAACCCCGAUUGCGAAGGCAGCUUGCUAAACUGUGACUGACAUUGAUGCUCGAAAGUGUGGGUAUCAAACAGGAUUAGAUACCCCAGUAGUC